UCAGGCGUAAAUUCCUCUGGGUUCAGCGCCUUGGGAACCCAAUCCUAAGGAAUUUUGAGAACGCAAUCCUGUGAUCCAAAUGCAAUCCGUAGGAUACAAUCCUGAGGUUUACAAUCCAGCAAAAAUCCUGUGAAAAUCCUUCGAUCCAAAGAAGGCUUUAAAUAGAAUAUGAAAUCGAGCUUUCAGCUGCAUCUUUUAGCAUCCUAGCCCUCUCAUCAACUUCAGAGUUACCACUGGGGUCACUUUUCUCAAGAAAUCUGGAAAAAAGCGAGGAUUCUCAAGUAAGAUAAGUCUGCUUACAAAAAUUUGCCUGCUGGAAAGUAGAUAAGAGACUCAUGAAGUAAGAAGACAUGCCUACAUAUUAUACAUAGCAGGCUUCUGACUUCUCUGAUUCUUCAAGCCUUGAGACUGUGAAACAUCUAUGCUAGGUCGUCACCUUCAUUUGAUUAGGUACAGCGUUCACUGCUAUGAAAGAAGAAGGCAUAGAUUUGCCUUGUGGAAUUGCCAGUAGAAUGGCAGUGAGAACGAGUAAAUAUCUACGACAGGCAAUACAUUAUUUUGAAGCUACAUGGAAAGCAAAGUGACAACGAGGAAUUGUUAUCCACUUGAGAAAAUAAAGAUUAAAUCGAUGAUGCUCUCAAAAGUAAAAUGACUUCCUGAGCUGGAUAGUGACAUUUAUGACUGUAUUGGUUCUCACUCAAAGUAGAGGCCCAACAAACUUUUUUGAAGUAGGAGUCUAAAACUACAAAUCCAUCUAUUCCUAGAAUGGAGCUGGUUGGAGUUGAGCCUACAAUUGAGCGGGUAGUUCGGUGGCACCGACAUCCAGCUGAAAGUUUAUAGGAGGGUUAGUAAAGCAAAUUUGUUCAUGACGAAAUGUGCCGGCAAAACAUUGAGUCAGAGUGCAAGUCAAAUGCUCUUAACAAUUUUUUUGUCGCUUUUCUUUAAUUACAAUUCUUAUUUUUUUUAGUUGGCAUUGAUAUACAAAAGAAAAUCCUGUGGCUUUUUUGCCCUCUCAUCAACCAUUGUAUUUUUGAGUUGUAUCAGUCUAUGUAAAAGAAUUCAGUACCUUAUGUUUUGUAUAUUUGGAAA